rnacentral:lncRNA from 1 species
GCCCUGAAUAAACACUGCCGAGCGCGGGGUCAACAACAGAGGGCACCGCCGGUCGUUAUAGGAACCGAUGCUGCCGGCACAGCAGCACCUGCACCGCACGCUCCAGGAGCGGCAGCUCCGUCCCGCCCUGCGGCGCGGCCCAGGGCAGCACAGCAUCGCCUCCGCAUCUCAGCGCGGCCCGCUGCCGGCCAAGCCUCCCCUCGGGCACGGCAGCGAAGAAUAACUUUCCGUUCCCCGCCGCACCGCCGCCUUCGGGUCGGCGCCGGGCCGCUGCCCGCGUCCUGCCAACGGCUGCGCCAAUCGCGGGCCGCCCUCGAAAGGCGCCCGGCUCCCGCGGGGCUCCUGCCGGCGGCGCCGAGCCGAGCCGAGCCGAGCCGCCCGCGGGCACGGCCGGGCCGCGCAGCCCGAGCCGAGGCGGGGAGGCCGCGGGACGGGGGAAGCGCCCAGGCAGCACGGCGGCAGCCGGCAGCCCCGACGGGAGAAGGGAGCGACGGGCCGGCGGAGGGGGGACAAAGCGCCGGGAAGGAGGGGUGGGGGGAGGCUCGGCUACCUGGAUCCGCUUCCUGUGCCGCCGCCGCUCCGCCAUGUUGUCCCCGUCUGCUCCGCGGUGACGUGGGCCGGGCGGCGGCGGAGGCCUCGCGAGAGGCGGCGGGAGGAGGGGAGGCCGCGCCCCUCGGCGCCGCGCGGGGGCUGCGGGGGGCUGCGGGGGCCGCGCCGGGCGCCGCGCUGGGGGCGGUGACGGCGCUGGGGGCGGUGACGCGGCUCUCGCUGCGCCUCCAUCGCCGCGGGCCGUCGCGGCUGCGCCUGCCUCCCUCGGGGCCGCUCCUUCGCGCUGCAGAGCGACGUGCAGCUGCCGGCAGCCACGUGCCGCCCCGCCCUCGGAGGCGCUUGGCACGCGGGUGCGGCCCCGCGCACAGAGCGGCCCGUAGGAGAGGAAAAAGCUUCGUGGCGGGGCGGCCCGCGUGCUUUCGCCGUGAGGUGGCUGGGGUUAGCCAGGCGAGUUGUGCCGGCUCCGUGUUCCCGAUCCGUGCCGUGGCACUUUGCGAUGGAAAAGUGCGGGCCUUGUGCUGGUGGAACCUCUGA